rnacentral:rRNA from 1 species
CACGUAGGCACCAAGCGUUGUUCGGAUUUAUUGGGCGUAAAGAGCUCGUAGGCGGUUCGGUAAGUCGGGUGUGAAAACUUUGGGCUCAACCCAAAGCGUGCACUCGAUACUGCCGUGACUAGAGUUCGGUAGGGGAGUGGGGAAUUCCUAGUGUAGCGGUGAAAUGCGCAGAUAUUAGGAGGAACACCGGUGGCGAAGGCGCCACUCUGGGCCGAAACUGACGCUGAGGAGCGAAAAGCGUGGGUAGCAAACAGGA